UGGGGAAUAUUGGACAAUGGGCGCAAGCCUGAUCCAGCCAUGCCGCGUGGAUGAAGAAGGCCCUAGGGUUGUAAAGUCCUUUCGACGGAGACGAUAAUGACGGUAUCCGUAGAAGAAGCCCCGGCUAAUUUCGUGCCAGCAGCCGCGGUAAUACGAAAGGGGCUAGCGUUGUUCGGAAUUACUGGGCGUAAAGCGCACGUAGGCGGUCGUGUAAGAUGGGGGUGAAAUCCCGGAGCUCAACUCCGGAACUGCCUUCAUGACUGCAUGGCUAGAGGAUGCGAGAGGUUGGCGGAAUUCCGAGUGUAGAGGUGAAAUUCGUAGAUAUUCGGAAGAACACCAGUGGCGAAGGCGGCCAACUGGCGCAUUUCUGACGCUGAGGUGCGAAAGCGUGGGGAGCAAACAGGAUUAGAUACCCAAGUAGUCCCUGAGCGGGCUGGCAAGGCGCAU
rnacentral:rRNA from 1 species